rnacentral:rRNA from 1 species
UACGAAGGGGGCGAGCGUUGUUCGGAAUUACUGGGCGUAAAGGGCGCGUAGGCGGCGACUCAAGUUGGAUGUGAAAGUCCUGGGCUUAACCUGGGGACUGCAUUUGAUACUGGGUUGCUUGAAUUCGGGAGAGGAUAGCGGAAUUCCCAGUGUAGAGGUGAAAUUCGUAGAUAUUGGGAAGAACACCGGUGGCGAAGGCGGCUAUCUGGACCGACAUUGACGCUGAGGCGCGAAAGCGUGGGGAGCAAACAGG